UUUUAGACUUUCAGUUAUAUGUAUUAAUGAAUAAUUUUGCUAUUUCUUAAAACUCAAGCAAGCAAGCAAAACCGGGGUAGAAUCCGAGUAUGAAACGAAUUUAUAGGUACUAAAUCCAAACCUAAAUUGUGUGGCAGUUAUUUAUUCUUCUUAGAGAAUUUUGGUUAGUAACUUGAUAGUCCACAAUCUUAUUCACUAAAUUUUUGUUUAUGUGUGGUUGCCAAGAAAUAAAAUUAAUUUUUAAAUCUUCCCCAAAUAACAUGUAGUUUAAUUUAGGAAAAACUGAAAUGCAUUGUAUUUUGUAUUUUUUUAAAAAAUAAUAGUAUUUAAUAGUAGGAAAAUAAAUAAUUCGAAUUAGUUAUAAAUAAGGUUCAUAUUGUCCGUCACUCUCCCUAGAGAUAAGUCGUA
rnacentral:rRNA from 1 species